GGGAGGAGGGGCUAGGGGGCGGGGCGAGGACGUGGUAAAUGGCGCUCCGAGUACCUUCGGUCUCAGUCCGGCUCGCCGCUCCCGCGUCGGUCUUCCGUUUACUCUGGUUACUGAGGAGACACGGCUCCAGUUUUGACCCGGCUACGGUUGUUUUCUUCUUGUGUACCGCGUAAUCCUGAUGCCGUCCGGAUCAGCUCAGAUUUUUUUCUAUUUCGUUUUGGUUUUCCAAACACAGCUGUGCGGUUCACAGAUUUUUCUCUUGGGAUGUGUUUUCCAUACCGUCAAGCCCACUCUGAGAGCCUUGGGGCCCCAUGAAACUUCCCGCGCAGCUGCUUUCUGGUCCUUGUAGACCUGGGAAGCUUCUUGUAUUCUUAAUCUGGGGAAGAGAGACAUAGGUUUCCUUGUACAACAGGAUGAGGAUUUAAGAGCAAAACGACACUGAUAUUUUAAAGGCGAGGGUAUUUAGAUUUGUGGAGCUGAAACUUGCCUGAAAGGGGAGAGAAAAUUUGGAAGUUUGUUGUGUACAGUUUCUGCCCCUUACCCCAGCCCUUCAGUUUUAAACUUCGCAUGUAUCAACAGUAGUUACGGUUGUUGCGGCAGUCUAAAUUUGAUUAUCAGAAUUGACCCUAGGCAUGAAUUUUUUAAAAUAUACUGAAUUUUUAAAAAUAUACCAGUGUUGUGUUAUAUACACUUAGACCAUUAUGUCCAGACUUCUCUUAAGCCUAUUUCGUGGUGGGCAGUUUUGUGGUCAGUUAGGGAUGAACUUGGGUAGGGAAAGCUGAGCAUACAUAAUUUAUUUUAGGAAUGCACCAGUUCUGCCAACAUUUAUCAGAAGUCACGUUUUAAAAAAGCUAUUCUGGAACUGAAGAUGUCAUUGGUUUAUAAGAGGAAAAUGGAAGCCAAAAGCUUGCACCUCAUGCUCUAUCUUUAAAAAUUAAGGUGGCAGACACAAUGAGUAGAAGGCUUUUAUGUUACCAGAAUGAAGGCUUAAAAUCUGUCAUUUUAUUGACUCGGCUUUCUUUUUAGAAAUUUCUUUAAGAUAUAAAAGCAAUGCAGAAUAUCACUGUUUCACACUCUUAAAAUAGAUUACGUUCUCUGGAACUUCUCUAAUCUGAAAUGUGUUCAAAAAGGAAAAAGAUCUUUAAAAUACGCCAGUUAGUCUAUGGCAUAAUAUUAAACACUACUCAUCACUAGAGAAGUUACGGUGGUAUACCCUCCCCUCUCUCAGAUGUCCACCCUAAUGCCAGAAAUGAGCGGAGUUUCCCUUUGUUGUGCAAAAUGACUGUGUCCUUGAGGGAUGUUUGGAUGCUCUUGGUAAACCGGAAUCAACCAGAAGCAUAUCCGGUGUUAGCCCUGUUGUGUCAUCAACAUUACAACAGUGAGGAAACCCACGUAUCCCAAUGAAAGAGGAAAACUUAAAGAAGUUUCCAGUAUAUUUUCUUUGAGAUGUCUUUAUUUCUGUGACCUCAGAAGAUCAGGUUUUACUGUCCAAGGUUCACUUUGCCUAAAAGCUGAUUGUUCCUAUGGAAAAAGUAGUGUCGGAUGACCCUACAAACAAAGCAUUAUGACAUCGUCAGAGCCAACAACCUACCAUGACAGAUACUAAUGAGGAAAAAAGAGGUUACAAGAAUUCUGACACUCAUCACAGUGGAACCAGUAUCUGGUCCCUUGGGUUUCAUAUAUGUUAGAAGUAUCUUCACAGGAGGGAAAGGUCAAUGCCAGUAAUCCUUUCUAGCAAUUAGAAAUGACCAUCAGGUUACAAGGAGGAGAUUCUCCCUCAUCUCACAAACUACCUGCAUCUCCACUUCCCUGGAAGAAAAAAACAAAAACAAAAACAAAAAAACUGGACAUACCUGAGCUGUGUAUGUGCCUGAGAUCUUCCCUUCCAAGGUAAAGAGAGAGCCUGAGACAGGUGUACGUUAGCAUCUGGACUUUCUGCUAGUAAAGAAAAGGGAAUAUGGGAAACUAAAUAGUAACAUUAAAGGACCUACAAAGGGACUACUGGGUAAAUGCUACAACGAAUAAUGUAAUGUGAUUGAUGAAUGCUUUUGUUCUAGUGAUUUAUUAAACUGGAAAGUCAGAAGCAGUCCUGUGAACAUUUGUUUGUUGAAGCAUGAAAAGGCAGAGUUGACGAGUCCUUGCUUGAGUCUAUGCCUCCACCUAGUAGUUUGUUCUUAGUCUCCUAGGGGCUGAUCUCAGCAGAGAAAUGGAGACAGUUCAGUCACCAACAGUUUGUUACUGGAUUUUGGAAAAGGCACCAAACUAAGAAUCCAAGGCUUGUAUUCUUAUCUUAGCUCUGUCAUUAACAAGAUUGGGUAAGUCUUCUAAUCUUUCUGGGUUUCUUUCCUCAUCAAUAAAAUGAGCAAGUCAGACUGCAUAAUCUUUAUGGUUUCUUCCACAUUUCAAAUUCCAUGCGUCUAUUAGAGAGAAUCAAAAUUGUACAUGAUUUGUCUAAAAUACCAUGUUAAAAAGUCUAACAUAAAAUGCAAUGGGAAUUACAUAGCAUUUUGAGUUUAAAAAUCACUUUUGUAAAUAUAUUAAGGAAUGAACUUGGCUUCAUUGCAAUUUAUGUAGAAAUACUGGGAAGUGGAGGGGGUUUGGUUAACAGUUUUAAAAUGCUAAUGCAAUCCAGUCAAAAUAUAGAUGGGAUUUCAUAAAGUAGCAAAAAUUCUAUAUUCAUAAUUCAGAGUGAUAACAAAUGCAUAUCUAUAAAGCAAAAGAAUAUUUUUAAAAAUAAUUUUAAAUCCCAAGCAGUCAUUUCAUUUAAGUCUUCUAAUAAAGGACGAAGAAAAUGAA